rnacentral:rRNA from 1 species
UACAGAGACUGCAAGCGUUAUUCGGAUUCACUGGGCGUAAAGGGUGCGCAGGCGGCCGGGUGUGUCAGAUGUGAAAUCCCGAGGCUCAACCUCGGAACUGCGUCUGAAACUACUCGGCUAGAGUACUGGAGAGGGUAACGGAAUUCACGGUGUAGCAGUGAAAUGCGUAGAUAUCGUGAGGAACACCAGCGGCGAAGGCGGUUACCUGGACAGUUACUGACGCUCAGGCACGAAAGCAUGGGGAGCAAAAGGG